CUGUCGUGUUGUCCAUUUGCUUUUAAUCUUUUCCUUCUAAAAUAUCAUUCGUGCAGACGCUGGGCCAACUUCAGGCCAGUUUUUAAAAGGCUCCCUCUUCCUUUCUGCAUCAAACAUUGUAUCUCUGAAAGAGCCCAACGCACGAAGGAGUCGCAGCAGGAGCCGCUGAGUUUUGUAAUCUGAUGGAAAAGAAAAAAAACGUCACACUCUCUCUUUGCCCCAUUGUGUCUCUUUGGCCUCCGGACCUCUGGUUAAACAGAGACUGGCAGGGUGGAGAUGGAGAUUUGCAGAAGAAAAUUUGACACGAGGGAAGGGGGAACUCCCCCAGCUUGUCUCCUCGUGUCUGUGGUUUCAGGGCACUGGCUUAGCACCACGGGUUAGCCAAAACGUGCAGGAGUAAGAGCUGGAGUUUAGGCCGGGGUGGAUAAUCCCACAGACACCUCUUAGGGCACCUGAAGCAUCUCAGCUCUAAAUAAGAGGUUUCAUUAUUUUGGAACAUCACAUGGAUUUGGAAAUGCUGCAGAAGACUUUGGAGUGAAGGACAGCAUAAGGGAACCUUGGUUCUUCUAGACAAGACUUUGCCACUGCUCCCUCAGUUCCCCAUCAGUGCUAACACAUGUCCCUGCUUCCAUCUCUGAGUUCUGGACAGAAUGCAGAAGAAGGGGAGCACACGUGGGUACACACACAGUGGGGAGUCUGGGGAGUGUGCAGCAUCCUCGGGGAUGAUUAGGGUUAGGGUUGAGUUAGGGCUCACUUAAGGUUGGGUUAGGGCUCAGUUCAGGUUGGGUUAGGAUUGGAUUAGGGUUGGUUUAGGGCUUAGUUAGGGUUGGGUUAGGGUUGGGUUAGGGUUGGACUAGAGAUGGGCAACGAGGCCGUGUAGAGCUCCUUCCCUCCUCCCUCCUGGGGCUGGAUUUGUCUCAUCGUCCUAACCUUUGAAGGGGAGGAAGUGUGGCCGUUGGUGCUCCCCUCCAGUUUCUGCCCUCAGGGAAUCGGAAUGGUGCGCGUUGAGUGCUACUCAGACUCUUCCCCGCUGGAGGUGCUGCCGAGAGUGUCACUCCCGCACCCCGGCGGAUGUCAGGGCGAUCCCCGACGGGCAGGCAAAUACCGCACCAAGGGCGUUUGCGACACGGGCAGUGCUCGCCCAGGUGCUUGGCCACGGUGCUGCGACCGCCUCCCUCUUGUCACAAGUUUCCUUUUCAUGAAGUCUUGGGCAACGCUUGCGUCAUUCAUCCCUAAGGGCGAUGCACGUUCCUUUCCCGUGCGCAAAUGCGCAGAGCGAACAGUGGCGUUACAAAGCUCUGCCCCACAGGCAUGGCUGCGUUCAGGCGAUGUCCCGAGGCUGAGUGCUCGGGGCACGGGGCACAGAACUGUCGUCCCCUCCCCAUCGCGAAGCCACCAGCCGCUCGUCCUCGCUUUCCAGCAGUCAGUCCCUGAAAGCCUUCCCCCUGGCAGCCCAGGAGUCCUGAACUCGGGAAAUCUCGAUCCCGAUAGCUCUGCGGGUUUCCAGAGUACCCCUCUGCCCUCCCGGCAGCGUGACGCUGCGAGAGACCCACGAAAUGUCCCCGACGCCGAUGGAGACGCCCCGCGGGGCCGUGCGGGCGGCACACGGCAGUCGCGCUGAUCACGGGCGGUUCCGAAACUCUCCAUCGCCUCGUGGGGGAGCGUGGCAGAGCAGGGGAUUGUCACCCGUGGGUGCUGCCCUCUGGGCACGGGGGAGAAGGAGCAGCGUCGGCGAUUCGUGAGAGUCCCUUGAAGUCUCCUGAGCGGUGUGAGAAUUGUGAACGCUUUCAUCAGUGAGAGUCCGUUGGGGAAUUAUUAACCGGGCCUCAGCCGAACGGGACGGCCUCGGGGAAAGGAAAAACGCGGCGCGGCCCCGUGUGCCACCCACCGAUGGGGCUGGGGCGGCCGCCGCGGUGCAACUGGACGUUAUACGGCCGGCUCCGCUCAGAAAGCUCCGCUCUGCCCACGGCUCUGCCGCCAGCCGAGCCCCGCGGUGCCGCAGCCCG
ensembl:lncRNA